GUGUUGGUUAGGUGUUGGUUGGUCUUUGCAUUUGGCAUUCACAAAUGUCAAAAACAAUGUAAGAAUCUAUAAACCAAGCCGAGAAAGUAUAGAGAACCUGAACUUGAACAUGCCAGAAAAUGCCUCCGCCGUCGCCAGAGACAGUUUUUAUGCUACUUUUGAUCUUUGCAGUUAUAGAAAUGCAUAGUAGAAUAGAGUUGUCUCUUCCAUGUCUUUGUUUUGGUUGAAUCACUAGGAAGAGAGGUAGGGCAACAUGAAUUUAAAUUGAAAAAGGACAGAACAGCCUUUCUAAAGGGCAAUUGUGCUGCUAUUUGACUGUGAUUUGCUGCCGCCGCUAUUUCAAAAUGCAGAAAAUUAGGAUUUAUCAUCCCACCAUAGCACCAAUAUUCACAAUAAGUGCUCUAUCUAAGGCGUGUACUCCCUAAAAAGGGCACCCGAUGAUCCCCC
rnacentral:lncRNA from 1 species